rnacentral:rRNA from 1 species
AUUGAACGCUGGCGGCAUGCCUUACACAUGCAAGUCGAACGGCAGCACGGGUGCUUGCACCUGGUGGCGAGUGGCGAACGGGUGAGUAAUACAUCGGAACAUGUCCUGUAGUGGGGGAUAGCCCGGCGAAAGCCGGAUUAAUACCGCAUACGAUCCACGGAUGAAAGCGGGGGGCCUUCGGGCCUCGCGCUAUAGGGUUGGCCGAUGGCUGAUUAGCUAGUUGGUGGGGUAAAGGCCUACCAAGGCGACGAUCAGUAGCUGGUCUGAGAGGACGACCAGCCACACUGGGACUGAGACACGGCCCAGACUCCUACGGGAGGCAGCAGUGGGGAAUUUUGGACAAUGGGCGAAAGCCUGAUCCAGCAAUGCCGCGUGUGUGAAGAAGGCCUUCGGGUUGUAAAGCACUUUUGUCCGGAAAGAAAUCCUUGGCUCUAAUACAGUCGGGGGAUGACGGUACCGGAAGAAUAAGCACCGGCUAACUACGUG